rnacentral:lncRNA from 10 species
GCGCGGCGCUGCGCGGCGCGGCUGCCGGGAGUCCCCGGCACGGGUUGCGGGCCGGGGCGGAAAGGUCUCCUGGCUGUCUGAGGUCCAGUCCCCGACUCUGGGCCUGCAGCAGCGAGUGGCGGCGAGGGAACCGCACCCCACAGUCCCCGCGGGCGGGGAUGCGGAAGGCACCGCGGCUGGGAGGGGACCGGCCCUCCGCGCCCCACCCCGUGCACGCGCUCACUCCUGCGGCGCACCCGGAACUGCCGCCGAGCGCGGACCGGCCCGGCCCAGCCCAACCCAGCCCAACCCAGCACUGGGGGAGCGCGCCGGGAGCGGGGCAGGAGCCCAGCGCUGCCGCUCGCUACGGCAGGAUCUGGAGCGCCGCGCUGCACCUGAGCCCGGGCACGAAUUGAGGAGCCUCGGGCUGACGCCAUUUAUUCAGCACCUACUAUGUGCCAGGCCUUGUUUAGGCACCGGAAGAUAACAGAUAAGACAUAAAGAUCCCUGCCGGUAUAGCUGCAGACAGAAUAUCUGUGAGGAUGACACAGCAUGCGAAGAGGGUCUUUGCUUACCCUUCACCUUCC